GUAGGUGGCAAGCGUUGUCCGGAAUUAUUGGGCGUAAAGCGCGCGCAGGUGGUUCUUUAAGUCUGAUGUGAAAGCCCCCGGGCUCAACCGGGGAGGGUCAUUGGAAACUGGGGAACUUGAGUGCAGGAGAGGAAAGUGGAAUUCCACGUGUAGCGGUGAAAUGCGUAGAUAUGUGGAGGAACACCAGUGGCGAAGGCGACUUUCUGGCCUGUAACUGACACUGAGACGCGAAAGCGUGGGGAGCAAACAGGAUUAGAUACCCUGGUAGUCCACGCCGUAAACGAUGAGUGCUAAGUGUUGGGGGGUUUCCGCCCCUCAGUGCUGCAGCUAACGCAUUAAGCACUCCGCCUGGGGAGUACGGUCGCAAAGACUG
rnacentral:rRNA from 1 species